rnacentral:lncRNA from 1 species
GAGAGAUCAAACAAGGGCAAGUUACAUAAAUCAUGUGGAAUGUUUCCUGUAAGAUGGUUUGAGGACAGGUGAAGUUGUUGUAAUUUGGUUGCCCCAGCUAGUUCUGGUGGUAUCACACCUGAUAAAUUAUUGUUGGAGAUCUUGAGGCUUGUGAGGCUACGAAACUUUCCCCAGUUAGGUGAAAGUUGACCAUAAAAGUUAUUGUCACUCAAUUCGAUGUAGUCCAAAUUUGGAAGUACACCAAAAGCAUCUGUUAUAUCCCCAGUUAGCUGGUUUCUCUGAAGCCUGACUCUUAUAAGGCUGGAGCAAUUCUUCAAACUCACUGGAAUUGGGCCUAUGAAGUUGUUAUUUUCAGCAGAAAUUUUUUUGAACGUUCCACCAAUGCAAAUGUUUUGAGGUAAAUGGCCUAUAAAAUCAUUGUCAGCUAGCUGCAAACUUUCCAGAGCAGUAAGCAUGCUCAUUUCUAUUGGAAUCUUGCCACCAAGUUCAUUUCCAAUAAAUACUAAUUCCCUGACAUUUGACAAAUUUCCAAUGGUGAAAGGAAUGGACCCAGAGAGUUUAUUAUAGGAUAUAGAUAAUGUACUAAGCUUUGACAAAUUUCCAAUGGUGAAAGGAAUGGACCCAGAGAGUUUAUUUACAUUAAGGAGCAUGGAGUCCAAAUUCACCAAGUUGCCUAUGGAAGCUGGGAUUGGUCCAGUGAGUUCAUUAGAGUGUAUAAAUAAUUCACUAAGCUUUGACAAAUUUCCAAUGGUGAAAGGAAUGGACCCAGAGAGUUCAUUUCCAUCAAGGAACAAGGAGUCCAAAUGGACCAAAUUGCCUAUGGAAGCUGGGAUUGCUCCAGAGAGGCUGUUGCCCGACAGUUGGAUAGUGGAAAGUGAAUGGAGAUUUCCCACUCCAUCAGGAAUAGAACCAUAUAAACUGUUUUUAUAAAGGUAAAGAUAAUAUAAAUUGCUCAAGUUUCCAAUUGUAGAGGGGAUUUCACCAGAGAGAAAGUUAUCAGACAAAUCAAGUUGACCAAGUUGUUUCAAAAAACCAAUUUCAGGAGGAAUGAAGCCAGAAAGAUUAUUCCUUCCGAGAUAUAGAAUUUGGAGGUUAACCAACUUCCCAAUUUCAUGAGGAAUGUGACCAAAAAGUUGGUUUUCGUGUAAACUUAGAAGUGUUAGAUUGACCAGUGCUCCAAUUGAAAUAGGAAUUGACCCAAUAAGAUUACACAUGCUUAUGUCAAGUUUUUCUAAAUUACGCAACGUCCAAAUUUCUUCGGGCAUGGAGCCAGAAAGGCCACUUUUCGACAUACGAAAAAUCUUUAGAUUCCUUAACUUCCCAAUAUCACGAGGAAUAGACCCGCUGAAACUGGAUUGGCUCAUGUCAAGCCAUGUUAGAUUCCUCAGCAUCCAAAUUUCUUUGGGAAUGGAGCCAGAAAGCCCACUUUUCCAAAGCCGGAGAGUCUCGAUGCUCCUCAAAUUCACAAUUUCUUUGGGGAUGGAACCGUUGAAGUUAUUAUCAGCAAAUGACAAAUGCUUUAGGUUCAUAUGCCAAAUUCUUAGUGGAAUGUUGCCAGAAAGGUCGUUGCUUUCGACAUCUAGAUGAGACAAAUUGCAUAACUUUUCUAUUGAGAUUGGGAUAGUCCCUGAGAUAUUGGACCGAGGAAUAUCAAGUAUUCUCAGAUUCAUCAAUCUACCUAUUUCUUGAGGAAGGGAUCCAGUGAAAUUAUUAUCACCUAUGCGCAAUGUAUGAAGACCAACCAAGUGUACUAUUUCAGAAGGAAUAGUACCAGAGAGAUCAUUGUCAGAAAGAUUAAGAAACAAGAGUUUGGAGAGAUUACCAAUGGUAUUGGGAAUGCUACCAAAGAGGUUAUUAGUGGACAAGUCAAGAGUGUUGAGAUUGGAUAAGGAACCAAUUUGAGGAGGAAUAGUUCCAUUCAAGGAAUUGUGACUCAUAUUUAGAGUGAGAAUGUUUGGAAGUAAUGAGAAGUUGAGACUUUGAAGCGUACCUCUUAAUCCAACAUAUGUAAGACUGAUGUUGGAAACAGAAUUGAACUCAUCACAUGCAAUUCCGAGCCAAAUGCAAGGAUUGUUGCCACUCCAUGAAGAGAGAGAAGCAUGACUUUGGUUGUCAAGGCUGGAUUUCCACUUCAACAAAGCAUUUGCUUCUGAAGCAAUCUCAGAAGAAGCAGCAAAUGCACAGAAGUACAUCACAAGAAGCAGCAAAAGUGGUUGGAGCUUCAUGGACAGAAGCGUUGGAAAUAUGAACACCAUGAGGAAAUUUUGAGGAAGGAUUCAAUCACAGAUUGUCUGAUACAAUCAAAUGUAAGAGAAGUACUUACAAGCAAUUCAUGGGAUAUGCAUACUUAUAUGCAAAACAUCAUGAAACACGAACCAGAGUCAAGAAAUAUUGUACUUUUCUUUCGUUGAAGUCUAGAGAUAUUUUACUGUAUCUACAUAAAUAUAUGUUACAGCUUGGUUCAAAAGGUUCAAGAUAGAAAAGUUUUACACCUUUAAUCUCCAACCUUUUGCAACUGUGCUUUCGAAGCUAUCCUUUUUAUUUUAAGCUUUUGACGUUUUUUAAAACAUAAUUCAAUAAUUAUAAUUUUUUAUAAAACAUUUAUUUUGAGUUAAAAAUAAACCCGUGUUUUUUGGUAUAGAUUUUUUUGUCUAACUAUAGAUAUUGUUUGAUGAAAGUUAUGUUGUUCAACUCAAAUACCAUAAUUAUGAAUAAUCUGAAGUCAAACUUGAAACUACUACUUAAGCUUGAACAACUCACAUUAAUUGAUUCACAUAUUCACUCACUAUUUUUUUUUGGUACUAUGAACAUUAAAUUAUCAUGAUAAUUUUUUUACUAAAAAGUUGAACAUCUGACAUCAAUUAAAAAUAUAAUCAAAAUAUAAUAUAUAACUGAAAAAUAAUCAUAAUCUUAUAAGUUGGCUUUAUAAGAUUAAGUUAGACUUAUAUUCAAAUUGUAAGAGUAAAUUAGAAUUUUUGUCCAUUAUCUAUAUUUUAGGUUUUAAUUUAAUUAGUCCAUUAAAUUUAAUUUUUUUUUACUUUAGUUAGACUAUUAAAAUUUCUCUUUGUUAAACAAGUUUGGUGACAUGAAUAAAUUGUAAGAGAUAUCAUAUGGGCUAAAAUUGACAUUGUUAGUGUAAAAAACAAAUUUGGUCUAACCCAUGUGAUAGACUAAAAGGAAACUUUUGAAAAAAAAAAUAUUAAUUUGUUGCAGUCCCUUACACAUUUUAAUUAUAUUAAAUCAUUUAAAUGUUAUAAUAUUGAAAACUAAUUAGGAUGAAGACUGAAGAGAUGCGAUAAAUUCAUAAUAUGGAAGUAAUUAAAGUGAGAAAGAAAAUAUCAAACAAGACAGCCGAUCAGUGGGGUCAAUAGAAGUCUAGCUUGGUAUGUUGCACGCGUUUACUUUACAAAACUACAAAACUGUCAAUGCAAGUCUUGACAGAACAAAGGGAAAGAUAAAAAAAAAGGACAAAACAAAGGAAGACUACGAACACGGAUAUAAGAAAACCCAAGCAUGUGCACUGCAUCCAGGACCAGCCCUAAUAAGUAAUAACCCUUAGGGAGGGUUACAUGAUCACGAUUUGAUUUGACAUGCUUCUAGAUUAACGACUCAAAUGAAAAAUAUUAAAUUUCCUUCCUUAUUUUUAAUAUAUAUAUAUAUAUAUAUAUAUAUAUAUAUAUAUAUAUAUAUAUAUAUAUAUAUGAAUGAAUGAAUUUAUUAUUCAAUAAAAGAAUGAAAAGCGUCAUUAAAACCCUAAAUUUUAUAGAAAUUAAUGUAAAAUAGAAAACACGUUAGAGUAAAAUAUCCUUUUUUACUUCAUUCACGCUCUAUCAUCCUAUUUAGUUAAGGUACUAAAAGGCAAGGGUUGAAAUUAAUAUAUAAUUUAAUUAAUUUAUUAAAACGACUCAUACAAAAAAUUUUGAUGUUCUAUCAUUGCAUUAGAUUUUACUAAAAGCCAAUUUAGUCUUCUUAAUUUUUUUGUUAUCAUUAUCAAUUAAGUAUUAAAAUAUUUAUUAAUAGCAAUAUUACUAGAAUAAAUUACACUUUCCUCUCUUAAAAAAUACGAAUAUCACACUAUCAUCUCCUCUUAUAUUAAAAAUUUUACUCUCUUUACCUAACAAAUUUGAAUACAUGACACUUUAUUUCUUUUUAAUUUUGUGUUAAAAUUCUGUUUGUUUCCAUUAAAAUAAACUACAUUAUUAAAAUAUUAUUUACAAUACCACCUCCUCAAAGAUGCAAAUAUUUCACUGCACUCCCUUCUUGUGUUAAAAUACAUACUUCAUCCCUUAACUAAUGAGCGCGCGUGUGUGUAUAUAUAUAUAUAUAUAUAUAUAUAUAUAUAUUAUUUUUUUGGAUAUUUCGUUUUAAAAUGUUUGAUAAUUAAUUUUUUUAAACAAUUAUAAAAUUUUAAUGAGUGUAUGCACACACUUACACACAUUUAUUUGUUUAUGUUAGUACUGAAUUUUGUUAUAAUUAAAUUUUAUUUAAUAAUAGAUUUUUACAUGAAUAUAUUCAGGUGAAAAGUUAUAAGUUACAUUUAUUAAAAUUAGUAAAUAUAGUAUUUAAAUUUAAUAAUAGAGGAUAUUAUGAAAAUUAAUUAUAAAUUAGUUUUUAUGACAAAUUUUUAACCAUUGCUGAAGUACUAGAUUUCCACCCUUAAUUACAGUACACGCGUAUAAAUUAGUUCAAAAUACUCCAAUUGAAAAUUUGAGUUAUAACAUUUCAUUUCCAAAUUAACAUAAUAUUGUUUGCAUAAUUAAGUCACUUUAUUAGCUUAUUUGUUUCGUGUUUUUAGUUUUACACCAGGCUCUAUUAAAUGUUUGUAACCUAAAAAAUUAUCUAUUUAAAGUGAGUUUUUUUUGGUGUGUAUGAAACCCAAGUUAGAAUUCUAAACAGAAAAAAUUAUUCCCUACUAUAACGCUAACGCUGUAUGAUUUGGUUUUAGCCUAGAGCGUUUGGAACGGGGGAAAAUGAUGUUGGCAUUUGAUGAGAGAAUUAUUGUGUUGAAUGAUGUACGUACAUGUAUAUAUCAUUCGCACUGCGUCAGGAUGCCCUUCGAAGCACGUAUUAUUAAUUUCUGCCUCCAAUCUAUUCAAAUUACGUAAAAGCUUUGAUCUAACUUGCAUCCAUCUUGCGUGAUGAACAAUCAAAGACGUACUAGCAAGUCUUACAACCUAUAUCAUACUUUUGUGACAUAAUAUAUUAAUUACUCUAUAAAAUAUAUUAAGACAGUUCCUAUUGAAAAUACAAAGUGUGUGAGGAGUAAAUCAUUAUUUUGUUAAAUAUUUAUUUUUGUAAAUCAUUAUCAUCAUCAUCGACUUAGUCUUGCUUGUGUAGUGACACUUUUAAUUUCAACAUGAAAGGGACAGUAUGAAUGUAACGUCUUGCAAGUCCACCACGUAUAAUUAUGUUUCGUUAUUAUCCAUUAGACCAUUUUCCAAGCAACUGUACUUAAACAAUAUAAGUACUGUAAUAUAUAUAUAUAUAUAUAUAUAUAUAUAUAUAUAUAUAUAUAUAUAUAUAUAUAUAUAUAUAUAUAUAUAUAUAAAAGUACAGGGGACUUUAAAAUAUUGGGUGAAUAAACAUCAUAGUGUGAAAUAUUUAUUAUUAUUUUAUUUAAAUUAUAUCUAUUAUAAAAAAUAAUUAUGUUUAAAUCAAAUAAAAUUAUCAUGAAUUAUAAAACUCUUUCUUCAAAUAUUAAUUUAAUAUAAAUGUAUACUCAGAAUUCGAGUUCAAGACUAUUAUUGGUUAAACAAGAUUAUACCCAAGCCAAUUAAUUCAAGCCUUGACGAUGGUAUUUAUUAAUUUUACUAAUAAAUUUUCUUAAAAAAUAUGACUGGUCACAUAUGAUGCUUUUACAAAAAAUAAGACAGUAGUGACAUUUUACUAAAGGUUUUAGUUUAGGGAAAAGAGAGUGUAAUUUCCUCUGGAAGAAUAUGAUGAUACCAUUUAUGAAGUCAAUGCAUGUCUUGACGGGUUGUCUUGCAUAAUGCAUACGUUGGUAAAUUGCAAACUUCUUUUGGCAUUUGAAGGGAAAGAUACAAAAAAGGAUCAAACAAAGGAAGACUACGACGCGCAUAUAAGAAAACCCAAGCAUGUCCACUCCAUCCAGGAACAGCCCUAAUAAGUAAUAACCCUUAGGGAGGGUUACAUGAUAACGAUUUGAUUUGAUAUGCUUCUAGACUAACGACUCAAAUGAAAAAUAUUGAAUUUCCUUCUUAUUUUUUAAAAUAUAUAUAAAUGUAUUGUUGGGAAAACUCGGACUUUCCCGCUUCGUGAAGUUAAGAUAAACACUUAGUAAUUAAAGGUAAUAAUGGGAGCACACGAUUAUAAUUCUUCAAUAUGGAAAUUCUUCCACUAUACAAAAUGAUAGUAGGGUUACAAGGAUGUGUUUACAAAAUUGACUCACUCUAUGGUGGCUCACUCAAGCUUGAGAAUAAAGACUUCCCAAACUAUUUAUCUUCUCUCUCAGAGAUGCUUACUCAAGCUUGAGAAUAGAGACUUCCCAAACUAUUUAUCUUCUCUCUCAGAUAGGCUCUCUACUUGGAUCGUUAGGAAUGAAGGCUCCUAUCCUUAUUUAUACUACUCCACCUCCACAAUGAAUGAUGGAGAUUACUUGUAUCCUAGGGUGAAGAUUAAUUCUCUAGAAUGUUCCACAAAUUCUAGGAGUCUCUACACUCUUCUACUCCCUUCCAUAUCCUUCCAUACUUUUUCAUAAGAUCCCAGAAGGUUCCACACAUCUCCAGAAUAUUCUAAAGGUUUCCAUAUUCUUUCACAAGCUUCUAGAGAGUUCUACACUACUCUAGAGUUCUCCAGGACGUUGUAGAAAAUUCUACACUUUUCUAAAAAGCUCUAGAAUUUUCUAAAACCUCUCCAAUUAAGGAGGGAUCCCAACAAAUCUCCCCCUCCCGACUUAAUUGGGGGCUAGUAGCAAACCGGCACCUUGACAGCAAUCUUUAAACUUCUUUGUUGGUAGUACUUUGGUCAUCAUGUCUGACCAGUUCUCAUCUAAGUAAACCUUAUCAAGAUGUACUUUCUUUUCCUCGAGAACAUCUCAGAUCCAAUGAUACCUUACGUCAAGGUGCACAUCCUUGAACAUGUCUCCAUCAUGAGCGAUGUUAUCCUCUAUCUUGAACUGCACGAGCUAGUGACGGCUCCGGAUGAACCUGACUUUUAAUACCACUGUUGGGAAAAACUCGAUGGGAGGAAAUACUGGGGAGAUUCCUGUGGACCACGAGCCACCACAUAAGAAAACCUAGUACCACACUAUAACCCAAAACCUUAAGGCUUAGGUUUAUGAGUCUUCUCUUCACUUAUAUGGUGCUCAGCCUUUCCACUUCUACCCGAUGUAGGACUUCACCUCACACUUGUACUCCAACACAUCUCCCCCUCAAGUGUGAGUCUCUUCCACAUGGUAGCCUCCCCCCUCGAGAGAAAGUCAUCAUCCACGAGUAUAGCCAUUAGAGCCUACAUGCUCUAGCUACCUGCGAUACUUGCAUCGUCGCUCCAUCUGCGGGACACGCUGCCUGGACUCACUGUCAGGAAGACUUUCGAUACAAGGGAUCCCCAAGGCUGAGAUCCAUCACCGCCAUCUUACUCGUCUGAGCUGGUCACCAAGUCGAACAACCUGGCUCUGAUACCACUGUUGGAAAAACUCGGAAUUUCCCGUUUCGUGAAGUUAAGAUAGGCACUUAGUAAUUAAAGGUAGUAAUGGGAGCACACGAUUAUAAUUCUCCAACAUGGAGAUUCUUCCACUAUACAAAAUGAUAGUAGGGUUACAAGGAUGUGUUUACAAAAUUGACUCAAUCUAUGGUGGCUCACUCAAGCUUAAGGAUAGAGACUUCCCAAGCUAUUUAUCUUCUCUCUUAGAGAGGCUUUCAUGCUUGGAUCGUUAGGAAUGAAGGCUCCUACCCUUAUUUAUACUACUCCACCUCCACAAUGAAUAGUGGAGAUUACUUGUAUCCUAGGGUGAAGAUUAAUUCUCUAGAAUGCUCCACACAUUCUAGGAGUUUCUACACUCUUCUACUCCCUUCCAUAUCCUUCCAUACUUUUUCAUAAGAUUCCAGAAGGUUCCACACAUCUCCAGAAUAUUCCAGAGGUUUUCAUAUUCUUCCACAAACUUCUAGAGAGUUCUACACUACUCUAGAAUUCUUCAGGACGUUCUAGAAAAUUCUACACUUUUCUAGAAAGCUCUAGAAUUUUCUAAAACCUCUCCAAUUAAGGAGGGAUCCCAACAUGUAUUUAUUAUUCAAUAAAAGAAUAAAAAACGUCAUUAAAACCCUAAAUUUUAUAGAAAUUAAUGUAAAACAGCAAACACGUUAGAGUAAAAUAUCCUUUUUUACUUCAUUCACGCUCUAUCAUCCUAUUUAGUUAAAGUACUAAAAGGCAAGGGUUGAAAUUAAUAUAUAAUUUAAUUAAUUUAUUAAAACGACUCAUACAAAUUUUUUUAAUGUUCUAUCAUUGCAUGCAUUAGAUUUUACUAAAAGCAAAUUCAGUCUUCUUAAUUUUUUUGUUAACAUUAUUAAUUAAGUAUUAAAAUAUUUAUUAAUAGCAAUAUUACUGGAAUAAAUUACACUUCCCUCUCUUAAAAAAUACGAAUAUCACACUAUCAUCUCCUCUUAUAUUAAAAAUUUUACUCUCUUUACCUAACAAAUUUGAAUACAUUACACUUUAUUUCUUUUUAGUUUUGUGUUAAAAUUCUGUUUGUUUCUUUUAAAAUAAACUAGAUUAUUAAAAUAUUCUUUACACUACCACCUCCUCAAAGGUGCAAAUAUUUCACUGCACUCUCCUCUUGUGUUAAAAUAUAUAUUCAUCUCUUAACUAAUGCGUGCGCACGCGAUAUAUGUAUUUAUAUAUAUAUAUAUAUAUAUAUAUAUAUAUAUAUAUAUAUAUAUAUAUAUAUAUAUAUAUAUAUAUAUAUAUAUAUUUCGUUUUAAAAUGUUUGAUAAUUAAUUUUUUUAAACAAUUAUAAAAUUUUAAUGUCUGUAUACACACACAUUUUAUUAGUUUGUUAGUAGUGAAUUUUAUUAUAAUUAAAUUUUAUUUAAUAAAUGAUUUUUACAUAUAUAUUCAUGUGAAAAGUUAUGCGCGUGUUACAUUUAUCAAAAUUAAUAAAUAUAGUAUUUAGAUUUAAUAAUAGAGGAUAUUAUGAAAAUUAAUCAUAUAUUAUUUUUUCACGACAAAUUUUUUAGCCAUUGCUGAAGUACUAGAUUUCCACCCUUAAUUACAAUGUACGGGUACAAAUGAGUUGAAAAUACUCCAAUUCAAAAUUUGAGUCAUAACAUUUCAUUUCCAAAUUAACAUAAUAUUGUUUGCAUAAUUAAGUCACUUUAUUAGCUUAUUUAUUUUCGUGUUUUUAGUUCUACACCACUCUCUAUUUAAUGUUUGUAACCUAAAAAAUUAUCUAUUUAAAGUGAGUUUUUUUUUUAUCGGCAAUAUUAAUACAAAAUCAAAACCGCGAUUUUUAUCAUGGUUCCUUUCUCUCUUCCCUUCUAUUUAAGGUGGGUAUGCUUAGUAAUUAUAGAACAUAAAACAAACAUACUACUUAUUGGGUUAAAGUUGUUAUUUUUUAUUUGAAAAGAAGAAACAAUUACUAAAAAUAAGUAAUGCAUAUACAUCUUUCAAUUUGACAAACAUUAAAUUAAACUUAAAGUGAAUUACUUAUGCACUUUAAUUUCAAGAAAUUAAGCUCAAUUUCAAUGAAAUUUAAUAAUUUGAUACUUUGUCUUUUUAAGAGAAAAUGUCCAGUAUACUGACACAAACCUGAGUUGCAAAUUAAGUUAUAAAAACUUUAUUUUCGAUGGGUAUUUAAAAAAAAAAAACAGGUGAAAUAUAUACCGUAGUAUGACUUCAAGAAUAUGUAUAAAAGUUAAAUCGAUACCAAGGUUAGGUAGAUUUCUUGUGAAUGAAAUCCUGCAAACAUAUCAUUAUCAACGCGAGUUGAUCGUGUUAGAAUAGCCUCAAAAUUCAAUCAUCCACUUGAAAAUUUGACCACUAAGGCAAAUUCUCACUUCUCUGCGUUUUUUUUUUCCUAACCUAACAUUUUUUUCCUAAUCUAACAUGAUGUUAGAAUAUGUAACGCGAAUAAUAUUAAAGAUGAAUAAAAUAAAUAAAUACAUAAACAUGUAAAAGCAUACAUAUUAUUACAUCAGAAGUUUCAUAGGAGUACAUAGUAUACAACAAUAUACAUAUUGGAUCAAGCUCCGUGCGUCCUUAAUUUGCACGGUCAAAAGUUUACAAUGUGAAAAGAAUCCAUACCUUGUAAUAUAAUAAAGAAUAAAUAACACAAAAUAUAUAAGGAAAAACAUACAAAGUAUAUAAAUUAACAAAUAUUAUAUUAAUUUUUUAAAAAAUAAUUCUUCAUAGAAAGUUAAUUUUUAUAUUUAAAUAAUUUAAUUUUUCUUCAUUACACUUGAAAUGAAUGCAAAUAACUUCCGAUCCUAAACAAAUAUUAAAUAUAAGAUGUAACGUGAAUAAUAUUAAAGAUGAUUAAAGAAAAUAAAUAUGUAAAAGUAUACAUUAUUACAUGGAAUUGAGCAAAUUAAAUCAAUCUAAAUAUUUUUCACUAAUCAGUAAAAUGGUACUUAAACUGAAGUUCCGUAAUGCAAAGAAUUAUUCAUUUUAAAUCCACACUUAAAUCAGUUUUCCUUGUAAGGUAGUGCAUGCAAUUCAAAUAUUAUAGAAUUCUACUUUUAGUUUGCUAACUAUAAAAGGAUUCUAAUGUUCUAUAACAUUUUUUCUGUCCUUCACUACUAUAAAAAAGCAUUUCCACGACAUGAAUAUAACAUCGGUGCUAUGCGAACGUUGUUGAAUCCGUAGCGGUGGCAUUUUUGUAAAUACCCCGACAUUAACGACAAUGUUUUUGGAGCUGCCCGAUGUCGUAUUUGAGCGGUUCAAAUGACUACGUUUGAGUAGUGAAAAACGUCUUCGUAUUUCACAUACAACAACGUUUUCUAAGAAAUCGCCGUCCUUGUUGCAGUUUUGCAAAAUAAAAUUUUAGAAACCGCGCCAUUAUCCUUUAACUCUUUGCCCUUCCUAUCUGUCGUGAGCACGCCCUAGCUAGCAACCUCCUUCGUAGCAAACCUCUGUGGUGCCCUCCCUCGUGUGCUUCUGCGUUUCGUCGGUGUCGGUAACUUGUCCGGGCUAGGUUUUGUCCAACUUUUGUGAGGUAAGUAAACUUUGUUAAUUACUUGUUAGUUUUGGUCAUUUACCAGUUCUAGGGUCUGUCCGGGCUUGGUAUUUACAGUUGAGGUCGAACUCUAGGGUCUGUUGGACUGAGUUCUGCAUAAGCAACAUGAAAAUAUAACAACAUUACAAUUGGGUGCUAUGGUAAGGACUGUGUUCGAAAGUGAAAAUAGUUUUUUUAAUUGGAGUUGCAUGUACACUUUGAGGUAACCCGCGCCAUUACCUUUUCUAUCUACGUACUCUCCUGGAUUGUUGGUAAAAAAUAUGUAUUUUAAUUAGCUACAAAAUAUCAUCUUCGGUCUCUUUUAUAAGCCUUUCUACAUCUUUACCUGCAACAUAAAAUUCCAAAAGUUUUUUAGUUAAAAGUAGAACGGGGAAACUAAUAAUAAAAUAAUAAUAAUCUUGAGCUUUCUUUAAAGGCAGCAUUAUAGUUGAGAAUGUGGCAGCAGAUAUACUGUUACAAUCUGUGCUUAUAGAGUUUCAAUGCACUCAAUUUCAAUCUUGGCAUCCAAUGGCAAUGUAGCCACUUCUUAAAUUGAACCGUUGGAAAAGCAGCUAAAUAAAAUUGUUGAAGUAAUUAUAGGCAUUAAUUAUGAGUGAAAAUUAAAUAAUACCAACUCAAGGGGAAAAUCUUAUGAUUUUCAGCAUAGUACUCUUAGUUUCUCUAACAUUAAUCACCCUAAUUAUAUAUUAAAUAUGACAAGUUGACAAAAUAACCGAUUAUGUAUGACAAGAUGAAUCUUUAAGAGUUAAACCAUAAUAAAGCAUGAAGGUUUUUAAUCUAACAGCUGCUCACUCUUCUUCCAUGGUACGUGUAUGUUACCUACAAGCUAACACAUUUCUCAGCCCACAAAUGUAACAGGAUAAAUUUUUACAGCACAGAAUAAACUAUGCCAUAAGUGAAAUUCAUUAGUAAACACACUACCCACUCUUUUAAAUGCACUCUUUACUAUUAGUUGAAAUCAGUUAGAAAUUGCUAAGUCUAUUCCCAAAGGAUCAUAUGUCAGUGGUGAAACAAUCAAAAUGCUAAUUCCUAAACACACAUAAAACUCGAAUCCCAAUUUCCUAGACACCCAUGCUCAGGGCAAAUCUGUCAAGUCUAAACUCUAUUACAUACUUACGUAGAAUACAAAGUACAAAGAUUUAUGAGUAUGAGUUAAAUAUACAACAUCAAAGAGAACCAACCAGACUUUCCAAUAUUUCCAAAUUUGAAAUGCAACUCUAGGAUUGUGUGGUAGCCUACUUAUUAAUUAUGCUACAAUAUCCUAGUAAAAACUUAAAACGUACGCUAAAGUUUCAGAAUUUCGGUGCUGAAUCACAUGCUUUUGCUUUAUAUAUUGCAGCAGCAAAUUAGAGUACAAAAAAACCAAUAACAAUGACAAAGGUUUAUAUGUAGGUCCGUGUAGCACAGGUUUUGGUUCGCAUACCUUGAGUGAAAAACCGCACACAGUUUUUGAUGGUACACAAAACCUAACAGUAGUAAAAGCUAAAUAAAUUACCAAGAAAUCUAAAAUCAAGUAAUAAAGUCAAAAUGAUUUUACAUACAAAGAGAAUGGAGUGAGAGAAAGGUUCACCAACAAUGGCACAACCAGACCGCAAGAGGAAAACUCAAAAAGGAAAAAGAGCGAGGCAGAGACAAACAAUUACGAGAGCGAGAGAGACAACUCCAACGAUGGCAAUGUGAUGGGUAGGGUUUAUGAAAGGCAGGGCAAUAAUGGCGAGGGUCAAGGAAUAGAGCUUCGUGAGGGCAACAGUGGUGAAGUCACGGAUACAAACCCUACAUUGUCCCCAUAACCCUAAUGCGCAGAUACAAACAAUUAAAUAUAUUAUAUUACAAAUUUUAAACCCUACCGCGUAAAACAAAAUCACUAAAUCCUAACACUACCUAAAAUUUAUUAAACAAAACACUUUAAACAGGAGAAGCCUUUCAGGGCAACAUCUUCAAGGUGAAGCAGAUCAGGGUAGUUUCACCAAGUCAAUUUAAUCAAAAAAGCACUUUAAACAAAAGAAAGUUUUCAGGGUAGCACCUCCUAUGUGAAGCAGACCAGGAUGACACCUCCUCUUGUACUGACAUCCACCUAAACAAAUGACAGAGAUCAGGGUGGCAUCAUUAUAGGAGGAGGCUUACUGAUGCUUCUCAUUAUCAACGUGAUAAAAUAAUAUUCAUCUUGAUAAAUAAUUUGUUGACCAACUCAUAUAGGUAAAUAGCUUUUAUUUUUCACCCAUAUUGAUAAAAAAAGUUGACAAAUGACAUUAAUUUCAAAAUCAGGGAUAAAAAUCUGGGACAAAAUCAUUUGGUACCUACAUUUUUCAGUGGUAAAAAUCUGGGACAAAAGACAAAAUGGGAAAAAAUCUACGUACACAAAUUGCAUUUGGCCUCCUCAAAGCUUAUGAGUGUAAAACUCUUUUUAAUUAAUAUUCCAAGAGGCUCAUUUCUUUUAAAUGCAUGUCAUAUAAUUUGCCAAGAAAGAAAAAAUGGCAUAAAAAACUUAACAUAUGCCAAAGCUUAAACAAAUAGACUAUGUGAUUAAAAGGAACCGGUGAUAUAUAAUUGCUUUGAAAUCCCUGUGAAAGCUUCACUGUUAGGUUGAUUAGUUCUCACUUAGUUGACAUAAUUUAAAGAAAACAAAAUCAGUUUCAAGGUUUAUGAAUUUCAGUUUGACCACAAUCAAACCGUAUAACAAAAAUCUAAUGAGACAACAAUAUUUUAAACAAGAAAAAAAUUCAUGUUAUUAUCACUCACAAUAGAUGUAACAGUACUCACUAGAAACUAGAAAAUAUAUGAUUAACAUUGAUUCUAGAGACAUUCAACAUCGGUUUUGAAUCGAUGUUGGAAUUAUCAUUGUUAAAAGUAUGUCAUGUUUUACAUUAAUUAUAAAAUUGAUGGUCAAAAUCACUUCCAAAAUUAAUGUGAUAUAGUAGCAAAAAUUAUCAGUUUUAAUCAAAACUAAUAUUGUAAGUACUAUAAAAUAUUGAUUUUGUUAAAACCGAUGUUGCAUAAUGCAUACAUCAUUAGUUUUGACAGAACCAAUGUUUUAUACUACUUACAACAUUAAUUUUUGAUAAAAUUGAUGUUGUUUUUGUUAUUAUACCACAUUAAUUUUGAUUAAAAUUGAUAUUGUACAAUAUCAUUUUAGAUAUAAUUGAUGUUGAUUUUGCAAAAAAAUAAAUAUAUUUUAUCUAUUUGUUAAAUAAAAUCAAACCUGUAAAUUAAAAACAAAAUCAAUCUAAACAUAUAAUAUAUAUAUAUAUAUAUAUAUAUUAAAUAAAGAAAUACUUAAAGAUAUCAAACAAUGAUCUCAAUACAUAAAUAUCUUCCAUAAGCUAUGUUAAACAAUGAUUUUUGGACCUCUAGUAAAGUACAUUUAAAAAAAUUUCCUCUUUUUUUUACUACAUUAAAAAAUGCUUCAAAACAUACCAUCGAAGUUAAUAAAAGAUAAAUAUAACUCAGAAUAUAAUUCCAAAUAUAAAAUAUUUUAUUCUCUUUUUUUUACUACAUUCUCUUUUUUGUUUUUCCGUUCAUGAAUCUUGUCAAACAGGUAUAGUGUUUUUCUCUGUAAUGAAAGAGACAAAUAUAACUCCAAAUAUAACUCAGAAUAGACAUAAGAUAAAAGAUGACUUGUGAGACUUACCUCAUGAGUAUCCCUUUAGAGACAGCUUCAAAUAUAACUCCAGUAUAAUAGUCAAGACCUCGGGUCAGACAUAAGUCAAAAACCACGUUAUCAAGGCGUUUUUGAUUUAUCCAUAAGUUUAAAUAAAAUUUAUAGGUCAUUCAAUGCAUCAACGGAUCCAUCAUCUUUUAAGAAAGCACUGCCUUCUUUAAAUUUAGACAACAAUGCUAGAGGAGGUCCUUUUUCUUUGAUAUAAGUUUCAAUUUUGUCAGCAAUCUCAGCAAUUAAUCCUUUCUCUUCCACCUACUGCAUGACAGUACAAAAACACAUCAUUAAACAUAACAUAUAUAUCAUGAUUACAAGACAACAACUUUCCAAUAUUACAGUAAUAGGGAAUAUUAUUGUCUCAAAUUUUAAUUGGUCAUACACAUAGAAAGAAACAAAAUCAUAAGUCUCAAAGACCUAAGGCAAUGAAUGUAGUGGAAUAUGCUUGAACAGUUUUACGAACAUUUAAAUCAUGAAAUGCAAUUUCUUUUUUAUUUUAUUAAACAAUGUCUAAGUUUUGAAGCACCAAGUCUAAUCUAAUGUUAUUAAAUAAAAUAAUCCUUUGCAUUGAAGCACCAGAUCUUACCUCAUACAAACAAAUGAAUUAUAAGAAAGAAAGUCACAAUGGUGUCCUAGAAACCAUUAGAAUGAUAUGAAGAGUUCCUCAUUCUAACAGCAAGGAGUCCAACGAAUAAUUUAAAGGCAAUAAUUACAUAGAACUUCACAAAAAUAUAAAUGUACAAGCAUCUUUCUUGGAUGCCAAUAAAUGAUAAAACACAACUUACACUAGUUUCUACAGUACAUAGAACAUUUUGCAGCCUCAGAUAACUGCAUCAAGACAAAUGAUAUAAGGUGCAAAAUAAUUGGUCAAGAUAAAAUGCAGAAAUAUAUAACAUAUUUACUAGCAUGGUUAUAGUCAUCACUCAACACAUUGUUACUAUAGACCAAAGACAACAUUAAACUUUGAACUAAUGAAAACAGUGGUAAAAAAUAGUUCAUUUGGUCAUCUAGGCAGGGCAGAAAAGAGACACACUUCCUCAGAAAACCUGAGGGAAGUAAGCCUGAUGAUGUGGCUAAUGGGACCAGAUCCUGUAAUUUCAGAUAACAUGCCAAUUUACUUUGGCUUAAAAUACCCAGUAGCCAAUGGUAUCUAAUAUAAAGGAGUAUGAUACUUUACUAACACCAUCUGAACUUAAAAUUACCUAGCAAUCCAAGAAAAUGCCCUAAAAAUAGAAUUUGAAUUUCUCAGUUGUGUGCGACUUGCAAUCCUGAAGUCAAAGCUCCCUUUAUCUUGUAAUUUCCAAGAUCUUUAUUCCUAGCCACAUCUGUUUUGGACUAAAACUACUGAUUUUCCUAGCCAUAAUAUUCAUAAAUAUACCAAAAGUGAAAAAUCAUUGUGAUUAGUGGCAAUCCCUACAAAAUUUUCUUGUGCAUGAUAUGCUUAACCGAAGCACUGGCUCUGGCAAAUAUUAGUUAGUUGAAAUUCAUGUAACUUAAAUUUAUGAAAAUAAUCAUUAGAAAAAAAAAAACCGUCUCUAGAUCUUCCUUUGCUUGUUCACGAUCACAGUACUCGGCCCAUUCUCAUACGCAUAUGCGUUGUUUUUUUUUUCCAUAUAAGAGGCAACCUUAUAAGGUUAAUUGUAGUCUAUACUUAUCACCUGCUACUUUGCCACCAAUAUUUCCAGUAGUUUUGCUAAGCUGAUGACCACCUACACAUGAUAAGGAAGAAAAAUAACAUGCAAUAACCUGAAAAUGUUAUGUCCUAGUAUUCGAGAACUAGGAAGAACUCCAGAAGAGGGAUUAGAGGAGAGGAAAUUUCUGUUUUAUUGCUUGCAUUUCAUUACAAUGACUAUCAUAUUUAUAAGCACUGAAAUGCUAAUUCUGUUAUUGCAUUUCCUCUACAGGUCCUAAGGUGCACAAAAAGCAAAAUAACAGAAUGGUAGUGAAGCAUGAUUCCUAGCCAGCAACAAGAUCUCCUUCGACCAAUGAGAGGCUACCAGCUCAGCGUUUGUUGUUGGCACGGGUCACGUAGUCCUCCAGGUAGUGUGGCUUGCAUAUUCUCCUUUUGUUUCUUGUCUGCUCCUUGUCUGCUACUAAUUCCCCUGUGUUGGUUUGCCCUUUGCUGAGUUGAUUUAUAACAUAAAAACAAUAAAAAGUUCUUUGUCUCGCAAUAAACACCUGAAAUAUAGAAAGGCAUAGACAAAGAUUCAGUCAUAUCAUCACAACAUGGACCGUAAAUUUUGUUUGGAGAUAAGCUACUACCUAGAGGAAGAUGCCAGAUUGAACAAAUGAUUCAUCAAAUUCUUGGCUUCAAGAACGGAAUGCACUUGGUUCCAACGUCCCUUGCCACUGAAAACCCAUUCCGGCUCUUCUGCCUUUGGUAAAUGAGAUGCCAUUGACAUGUCUACGACGGGUAGGGGCAAACGUCGUCGUUCUCAUGCCCUUAAAUACGAACAUGCCACCAGUUCACCUUCUACGGCGGUUCUGUGAAAUCGUCGUAGAAUUCUUGACGUAGAAAGCUGCUUUUAUAGUAGUGACAGCAAUGUUAUAGAAGAAGUAGCAAUUAUUUUUUCAAGGGCAAAUAUCCUUGAAUUUCUUGCACCCAAAGACAUUGAUGCGAGGCCAGCACUAGAUUAGCAAUUAGGCAAGAAGAUGUUGUUAAUUAUAUAUUUCCAAAUACAAGGUUAUAAUUGAAUCUAAAGAAGAAAAAUUGUCCAUCAUGACUCUAAAGGGAAAGAAAAACAAAACACAACUUUCUGCUUCAAACUGAGUAUUAGAAGUUCCAUUAGUAGGAUCGUUUCACCUUAUGAGAUUUAAUUCUCUGGAUCUCAUCCUGUAGUCGUUUUGCAGCCUCGUCACUUUUGGUUUUGUCUCAAUAGUGGAGACUGAGAUUCUUGUUUCUAAAGAAGUGUUAUCAAUCAAGAAAACAAAAAUAAUAUUUGCAUUUCAAUUUUUUUUUAUCAUGUUCAUACUUAUAGAAAAAAUAGAAAAAAAAAGCAUAUUUUUUAUCUUACCAUCUAAAAUUAUAAAAUAAUGAAUAUUUUUUUUAUUGUAUAAAUAUAUCGUUACUAAAUAUAUACAAUGUAUAUUUUAUUUUAUAUUAAAGAAAUUUUACUUUUGACACAUACAUAUAUAUAUAUAUAUAUAUAUAUAUAUAUAUAUAUAUAUAUAUAUAUUCCAUAAGAAUCAAAGACAAGUACUUAAAAUUAUACUCACUGAUAUAGUUACACAUAUACAUACAUGAAUUUUAAAUUUAGAAUUUAAUUAAUUAAAAUCUCUCUAAUAUAUUUCCAUUGUUAAAGAAAAAGUGUUUUAUAUAAGAGCAAUAUAUCAACAAACUUAUAGGUUCUUACCACAAGCAUAUAACGAAAUAAGAAUCAAACCGUCAUUAAUGGUGCAUUACUGAAUCACAAGGUUUAAAAACCUUAUUCAUGACUACACACAAAAGACGGGAGUCAAGUAGUCAUGUGUUUACACAUCAAGAGAGACAUACUCAUCCAAGGAAAUUAAACAGUAGAAUAAAAUAAAGUAAAAUAACAUGUUAAGAAUAUCAUGCAAUUAAAAUAGAAACUCAUGCCCUCAAUGUCACGUCCUAUUAGAGCAUUGUAUCUUGACGUCCUCCUGCACAAGAUUUCUUAAGGCAAUCCACCUAAUCAUCUUCUCCCACGAACACAAAGUUCAAGAUUAUCACAGGAUACAAACACAAACAACACACAGGGAGUGAGUUAUCGCAUUCUUAAACAUGUAGAGAUAACUGAAAACACAUAUAUACAUAUAAUAUAAGUAUAAGAAGCUUAACUUAACACAAUUCGCAUCAUUUUACCACUCAUUAUAUAACGUCACUUGUCCCCAAGGAUUUAAUCACAAAUCACAUUCCACACUUUCACAUUAAUCACGUGUUUAGAACGACACAUCUCUAGUACAACACAACAUCUCAAACUCACAUAAUUCAUUGCCCACCAUUACGUAACAAGUCAUAAUGAUCAUUACAUAAGCUUUAUGCAACAUAUACACUAAGACUUAAUCAUAUAUGCAAUGUGAUAUCAUGUCAGUGAAAAACAACAGCAAGGUGCCUAGAAGUACAUAACAAAAGACACCACACAAUGAGUAUGUCAAGUAACUCUCACUAAGUGAAAUCAUAAGGUGACCAGUCAAGGUCCCUCUAUUUUGCGAGAAUGCUCCAACCAUAUAAGAUUAAUAUAGGCUUAAAGAAGCACUCAAAUCGAGUGUAUUUACCCCCAAGGCUUAGUGAUAACUGCUAAAUAUGAGUUAUUUUGAUAAUAAAAAUAUAUUGAAAAUAUCUUUAAAAAUAUUUAUUUAACAGUUAUCUUUGGCUUAAAUAUUAAGAUUUGAUAUUUUUGUUAUUUAUGACUUGCAGAUAUGAAAAGGAGAGAUUAAAAGAGAAAAAGAUUGAGAAAAUAUCCAAAAUAUCAGGAAGUCUCAAGGAGAUAUGAUUAAAAGCAAAACAAAUCAAAAAAAUAUCAUUAGGAAGAUUUUUAACAUUAGGCCCAAGUCCACUCCAACAACUAUAAAAAGAGAGUCAAGCCAAGGAGGAGAAACACAACACCACAUAACCCCAUCCCCUAGGGGUUUCAUUUACUCCCUUUCUUUCUUUACCCCUCUUAUCCAAUCAGUCCUUAUACCUCAUCCAUUUUAAAACCCCCUCAAUGGCCAUAAGUGGCUAAACCUCUAAUUAGGGCCUUGCAGGCCUAAAAGCCAAGCGAUGUAUGAUGUAUUCAUUAUUUAUCAAUGCAAAUGUGUUUUCUAUUCUAUUAUCUUUUCUGUUUUUAUCUUGCAUUAUUCAUCUUUAAUUAUGUUAGGGAUUAGACGCUCAGGAGAGGGUAACUUCUAAGUAAGAUUUAAAGAAGAUAUGCAUGUAUUGGUUUUAGGGGUUAGACGCUCGGAAGAGGAUAACUUCUAAUAGAACAAAAAUAAAGGAUUUUAUAAGAAAAUCAUUGCUAGGAAUAUAAUGAUAAUUUUAUGCCUAUGCAUUCUUGCAAACAUCUAGAAUUCAUACUUCAUAUACUUUAUUUGUUGAGUCUUUGCAAAGGAAUUUAGAAGAUAGAUAAAUAAAAUAGGCUUGUCAUUAUAAGGAAUCAGAGGCAAGUAAUUGAACAGAUGUAUGUAGAAUAGAAUUACCUAAAUUGAUAAAGAAAAAGAAAAAUCAUAAACUCAUACAUCCUAGGCAAACAAGGUAGGUCAGGUCCUAACCUUAUCAAAAUUUGAUUUGAUUUUAUUUUUAUCUUUUACUUUUCUUAUCUUAUCUUUUAUCUUUUAUUUUCUUUUAUUUUUAUCAUCUCUUAAUUUAAAUAUUUUAUCUUCUCUAUCUUCUAUUUUUAUCUUUAAAUCUUUUAUCCUUUCUUUUAAAUCUUUAUCUUAUCUAAUAUACUUCUUUAUCUUUAUUUUAAAUUCUUUAUCAAUUGCUUUUAACUUGGGUUUGCAUUAAUCUAAGUACAAAUAAAGUUCCUGUGGAUUCGACACUCGGACUUCCGAGUACUUUACUACUUGUGACAAUUUGGUACACUUGCCAACAUGUUAACACUUAGACUCCAAAGAAUUCAUUAGGAUCUUACCUUUCUGAUUCAGAUCCAACCCCUAAAAUAACUUUUGCAUACAAAUACUACUCGUGAAUUAUGCAAUACCCACGGUCUUACACUUAUUUUUAAAACACAUUUAACCCAAUGCAUUACAAUUUAACUCCUCAGGUUCUUAACUUGGAACCGUACACUCUUCCUUUAACACUUCUCGCAUUGCACUACAAUUUAACAUCUCAAGUUCCUAACUUGAAAUCCCUAUACUUUUCUUUUAAUACCAUUCACAUUGCGCUACAAUUUAACAUAUCAAGUUCUUAACUUGGAACUCUACACUUUCCUUUUAAAACCUUGCGCAUAAAUAUUUUUCUAAGGUAAACACCAAUUAGGUGAUUGUAUAAUACACAACUCAAAACACAACUAAUAUCAUAUCAAGUAUUAAUCACACACUUAUUCACAAGCUAAUAGACCAAUUGUGUUAUAAAAUAAUUAAUGUCACUAUAUAUAACACGAAAAUUUAUAAUGUAUAUUUAAUGCAUAUAUAAAUUUAAAUAAUAAAUUUAGUGACAAUUAAAUUUGAUCUAAUAAUUAAUUUAUUUACAUAUAUGAAUUAUUAUAAAUGAAACCUAUGAUUUUUAUUUAAAAUUUAUAUAUAUAUAUAUAUAUAUAUAUAUAUAUAUAUUUAUGUUAAUUUACAUGUGCAUUAAAUAUACAUUAAAAUUUUAUAUAUGUUAAUAAUGUAUUUUUUACAUAUAUAAAAUUUUAUUAAACCUACGAUUUUUAUUUACAAUUUAUAUAUGUAAAUAAAUUAAUUAUUAGAUCAAAAUUAAUUGUCAUAAAAUUUAUUAUGUAAAUUUACAUGUGCAUUAAAUAUACAUUAAAAGUUUUAGUGUUAUAUAUAACGACAUUAAUUAUUUUAUAACAUAAUUGACUUAUUAGCUCAAUUGAUUAUCAAUUGGUUAGAGCGUCUUGCUAAUAAUGUGAAAGUCACAAGUUCAAUUUCUGCCUAGACAAUUAAUUUUAAAUUAAUUCGUAAAAUAUAUCCUUUAAAAAAUUAAUAAAAAAUUGUAUAAACCAUUUACGGAUUAGGAAAUCCAUAAGCCAAUUACGGAUCUAUAAUUGAUUUAUGAAUUGUGAAUCCGUAAACCAAUUACAGAAAGACAAUAUGAGAAUUACAUAUAUUAUGCUGGGUGUACCAGAAAAACAAAUGGUGCACGUAGCAAUUCUGAAACCAAUAAUGUUUUGUGUUGGACUUUUAUGGACUUUCUUAUAUUUAGGGUUUUUUAAUUGUAAUCCAUAGCCCUAGUAUAUCAACACGCUUUCGUAUGAACUAGGGUUAUCAGAAAUUAAAUGUAGAAGCAGUUUUCUUUAAGCUUUCCUUUAUCGUCCCCUUGCAAUUUAUCUUUCUUAGUCUAGUUAGCAGCAGAGUCUAUCAAUCUAAAUGUGAAAUGCUAUUCAGUUAUCUAAGACUGGACCACUUUAGAAGAUAAGAACGAAACAUCGUAGUUCUAAAAAUGCAUUAUUAUGGCGUCAUAUUUAAAGGUGAUUCUCACAAAAUGUUUCUCAUGCUGGUGUUGGUGAGCAUAACACAUUUUUCUAGAACAAAUGAUAUCUAGGCAAUUCUAUCAUGAGCAUAAUGCUUUACGUAAAACAUCCAAUCAAAAACUCAAGAUAAAAUUGAAAUAAUUUCAGUUCAAGUUUCCUUAUAAGUAGUUCAUGCAUUUUCCUUUUCUUUGCUGACUUGUCGUUAAUUUUUAAUUAAUUGAAGGAAAGGGAACAAUUGAUUUGAAUUAUUAUAUUUUCUGAAACAAAAAAUAAUACUAUAUUUGUUUCCUUUAUUUUAAUAGGAAAAAAAAUAAAGCUUACACAUGUUAUCAUUAAUUUGGUUAAGGUAUCUAAAGUUCAGAAACCCAAAAAAACUAAAAUAAAAUGACCUACAAUAUAUAUAAAAAAAAGAUACAGUACAAAAAUAGGAAAGAACAAUUAAAACUCAAGCAUGUUUAUUAAGUUCAAUCUUUCAGCUAUAUAUAAGUGACAAUGUAGAGCUAAUCCAUUGAAGAUGAGCUUGACAUUACCAGCUCAUUGGCAACCUGCUCCAUGGUAGGGCGAGAUCGUGGACUUUCAGUCAAGCAGGCCAUUGCUAUCUUUGCAAUUGAUGCCACUUCCUUACCAAUUGGCUUUGUUGGAUGAGGGAGACGUUGGUCCAACUUAUCCAUCAAUGCCAUGAGAUCGAGUGUUGAGGCCACAAGAGUAGAUGGAGAUGAUCCCAAUAAAGAAGAUAUAACAUCACCAGGGUGCUUCCCAAAAAGUAUUUCCCAUGCUAGGACCCCAAAACUAUACACGUCACAUUUCUCAUUAACCUCCAUUGUGUAUGCAAGUUCUGUAACAAAAUAAAAGUGCUAUCAUACGCAAAAUAAGAUUCUAGUGACAAAGGCAAAAUGUGGACAAUUGUGACUAAGAAAGGCAAACUAAAAAAUAUGAUAUCCUCAAUUUAGUAUAAAGAAAGGUAAUUAACCUGGAGCAGCAUAUCCAAAGGUUCCUACGAAUGAGGUCCAAUUGGAUGAAUCUGGAUUAAGAAACUUGGCCGUUCCAAAGUCUGAGACAUGAGCUACAUAUUCGGAAUCCAAAAGAACAUUCUUGCUUGAUAUAUCACGAUGAACAAUUCGAGGUGAGCAUUCAUGGUGCAUAUAGCACAAAGCAUUUGCUACAUCUUUAACAACAUUCACCCUCUUAUACCAAUCAAAUGCCAUUGCUUGCCCAUCAUCCUUCAGAGUCUUCUCAACACUGCCAUUCUCCAGGAAUUCACACACCAAAAAUGAGAAUUGUGAAUGUGAACAAAACCCAAAUAACUUUACAAUGUUACGAUGUCGAAUUUCUGUCAAAGCUUGGAUCUCACAUGUGAAAGCUUUCAGAUUGAGCAUCUCUCCAUUUGGAACAGAAUGGAGUUUCUUCACAGCAACAACUUGACCUGUAGGCAGCACUGCUUUGUAAACACAUCCUUGCCCUCCAACACCAAUGAGAUGUUUGUCGUCAAAAUUUUCUGUGGCUUCAAUAAUAUUCUGGAAUACCAUUUUGCCAUCAAAACUCCAUAUUGCAAAUAUGUUAGGAGUUUGUAUACUUGUAGCCUGGUCUUCUUUGUUCGUUGAGGUUUGGCAUAAAUGAUACGAGACUCCGAAAGCAAAUAAUGCCAGUAUUAGAAUGCCCAAAGUAAGGGGUAAAAUUACUAUCAUAUGAUUAUGAGAUUUCCCACUUGAUGUUGAGCAAGGCUCCAAGCCAGUGACAUUGCCACACAAGCCUUUAUUAUUUCUCAAUGCUUCAAUUUUAGCAUUGUGGAAGGCUAGAAUGUUUGGAAGUGGACCCUCAAACUGGUUGUAUGAUAUAUCAAUAGAUGUCAAGCUCGUCAUAUCAUCGAAGCUAGAGACAUCACCUGAAAGAUUAUUGUGAGAGAGAUUCAGUGUUUCUAAGUUUUUUAAUUCUCCAAACAUUGAAGGUAUUGUUCCUCUCAAAGAAUUUCCACCAAGAUCAAGACUUGUAAGAAAUUUCAGUUUGCCAAGCUCUGAAGGAAUAUUUCCCUGAAAAUUAUUUUGGCUCAGACUCAUGUUCAAUAAAUUGAGCAAAUUUCCUAGUUGUUUUGGGAUUAAGCCAGACAACUUAUUUGAUCCAAGCUUCAAAAUUUGAAGUUUUUGCAUUGAUGCUAUUUCUUUGGGAACAUUUCCUGUAAGAUUAUUGUUGUCGAGUGAGAGAUCAAACAAGGGCAAGUUACAUAAAUCAUGUGGAAUGUUUCCUGUAAGAUGGUUUGAGAACAGGUGAAGUCGUUGUAAUUUGGUUGCCCCAGCUAGUUCUGGUGGUAUCACACCUGAUAAAUUAUUGUUGGAGAUCAUGAGGCUUGUGAGGCUACGAAACUUUCCCCAGUUAGGUGAAAGUUGACCAUAAAAGUUAUUGUCACUCAAUUCGAUGUAGUCCAAAUUUGGAAGUACACCAAAAGCAUCUGUUAUAUCCCCAGUUAGCUGGUUUCGC